rnacentral:lncRNA from 1 species
AUGAGACAGGCCAGCCCCGGACCCCACAGCUGCUACAGCAGCCUGAGGAGCAUCCGGGGAACUGUGCUUAGACGACCUCAGACUGGAAAUCCGGGCUGGCUCCGGUCCGUGCAGAGCCCCUGCCCCGUCCUCCUACCCCCAGGUGAUGGCGGAAGGAGGGCCCUCAGCCAUGACUCCCGUGUUCUCGGCAAGGUGCUGCCCACUGCCCACCCCAGCACCUCCCGUCUUGACCGCAUCACUCACUGUGUGGCUGCCGCACCGGAGCCCUGCUUGUCUCCUGCGUGGUGCUGGUUUCCACAGUCUCCUUGCAGCACGUGUCUGUUGAUGAACACAGCAGCCGACGAGGCUCCCGUGGUGUGCAGGCUCCCAUCCUGAUGGUACCGGACUUAGAACAUCUUUCAAUAACUGGACGUGUUCUCCCAGAGCCCAAAGCAUGCGGUCGACCACACAGACCGAGUCUGCACCAAGCCCUUGACCAGCAUGCGCCGCUCCAUCCUUGCAGACCCUGGAAACACGUGCGCUAGCAAGCCACCCGCCUUCAGCGUGCACCAGUCAGUGCAACGUGCAACCUGUCAGGACAGCAAGUGUGCGGACGGCAGAGGCUGGCGCUCCACCACGGCACUUUCCCCUGCAAAGCUCAAGCCCAGGAGUCUGUGGCACCCCCAUGGCGCCCCCGCCCCUGCACACACCUGCUUAGGGGUCCCGUCUCCAUGAAAGCGAGUGAUGUCCACACCGAGGUAAGAAGCUGCCUUCCUGAACUGCCUGUGGGUGUGCUUUGGGGUUCUUCCUCCUGCCCCUGGGUCUCUGACUCUGCACAGUCCCAGGUCUGUGUUAGCUCUGUGUUGGUGGCGUCGCAGGGCCAAGCAGUCCUCCUCCCUGUUCAUAGUGUCCUCUAGCAGUUUCCCAUUUUAUUUUGCACCUCAAACUUAAGGAUCAUCCAUUGUUUUAUCCAUUUCUAAAGCCUAUGUCGCAAGAAAAUACUGCUGGAAUUGGAUUGGGAUAAUGUUUAGCGUAAAGAAUAAUCUGGGAAGUAGUGUCAUUUUUACAAUGUUGAGUCUUCCUGAAAACAUGGUAUGCUUCUCCAUUUAUUCAAAUCGUCUUUUAUGUCCUUAUUACGUUUUUAUAGUUUUCCUCUUCGACUUUUGCUCUGCAUUUCUUGGUAACUGUUCCUAGGUGGUCUGCAGAGGGCUUCUGCCUUCAUCAAGGAUUUCUUCCCUCCAUUUCAUUUCCAACACAGGUAUUAGCAGCACACAAGAAAAUGGAUUUCUGUUUAUUUCCAGCUAUGUUCAUCACCAAAAUCUUAUUAUUUCUAAUAUUUUCUUCAAAGUCCGUAAGUUUUCCAAAGAAAUGAUCUUUAUGUUUCUGUAAAUUCAGU